GACGAACGCUGGCGGCGUGCCUAAUACAUGCAAGUCGAACGCUUCUUUUUCCACCGGAGCUUGCUCCACCGGAAAAAGAGGAGUGGCGAACGGGUGAGUAACACGUGGGUAACCUGCCCAUCAGAAGGGGAUAACACUUGGAAACAGGUGCUAAUACCGUAUAACAAUCGAAACCGCAUGGUUUUGAUUUGAAAGGCGCUUUCGGGUGUCGCUGAUGGAUGGACUCGCGGUGCAUUAGCUAGUUGGUGAGGUAACGGCUCACCAAGGCCACGAUGCAUAGCCGACCUGAGAGGGUGAUCGGCCACAUUGGGACUGAGACACGGCCCAAACUCCUACGGGAGGCAGCAGUAGGGAAUCUUCGGCAAUGGACGAAAGUCUGACCGAGCAACGCCGCGUGAGUGGAGAAGGUUUUCGGAUCGUAAAACUCUGUUGUUAGAGAAGAACAAGGAUGAGAGUAACUGUUCAUCCCUUGACGGUAUCUAACCAGAAAGCCACGGCUAACUACGUGCCAGCCGCCGCAGUAA
rnacentral:rRNA from 1 species